CCCCUCAAUGAGCGAUCUCACGCAAAACGGUACAUAAAAUAUUGCGACUUUUGCGAAAUUACCGUUUUGCCAACACCGACCUCUCCUCGAUCAACGCGCGAUCUCCGCAGAUCCGUCCGUCAGAUUUGCGAACGGAUUGCACCAGUGCGAUCAGCACCUCGGAGACAGCAAAGCUACACCUUCGAUUCAUCCCGAUCGACCACGGAUUCACGACAAAAUCCAACCUUCUUCCAAUAGAAGGAAACACACACGCACAAAUACAUAUAAAACAUGUAUUUUUGGAUUUUCUCGAAAUCCGUGCGUCAAACUCAAAAUCCAUCAGCGCCACUAGUUCCAGAACAGCUGAA
rnacentral:lncRNA from 1 species